AUGCUUCCAAGGACUACUUGGAUAGUUGUGCUGGUUGUGUUUUCAGGGAAAGAACAGUCGACGAAGCUGAACUACUUGAAUAAUAUGUUGACUAAUGAAAAUAAUUGGACUCUUCCCGAGCCAAUUCCUGAGGCAAUUCCUGAGCCAAUUGAGCCAACUCCUGAGCCUAUUCCUCAACCCACUCCGAAGAAGAGAGGUGUUUUAUUCCUCAGUCCUGAAGAAAUGCAAGAGGCAAAGAAAUCAAUGAAAGAAAUAGGUAUAAAAGCUGAAGAUGUUAAGAAUUUACCACGUAUUGAAGAAAUACAUGGUCUUAAUAUACCGCCUAUUGAAGAACCACAUUGUCUUGAUAACCCGACACAGGUAGUAAAGGUAAAUUCUCUCUAUAGAUAUGAUAAAGUUGAAAUUCCCUCUACUAAAUUUCAUAGCCCAUGCUUUGAUGAAUUUGAUGACUUUAUGGCUAGACAAGAAAGUUUUAAUGCUUAUGUUGGUAGAGAGUUGAAGAAUAAUGCUUUCGAGAUAGGACGCGUGAGCGAUUAUAUGGCUAGAGUUAAAUGUGAACUUAAACUCGUUAGCAAAUAUGCUUCUAUGGUUGUUACUCAAUCUGAGCAAGUACUUAAAGCUCAAAAUGAUUUUCUUGAUGAAUUAAAUAAUAAAAAUGAUUUUGCUAUUAGAGUGGCUACUAGAACCGGUAGAAUGACUUAG
rnacentral:rRNA from 1 species